GCCUAAAGGGGCCGUAGCCGGUCUGGUAAAUCCAUGGGUAAAUCGGGCAGCUUAACUGUCCGAAGUCCGUGGAGACUGCCAGACUUGGGAUCGGGAGAGGCGGAAGGAACUCCCGGGGUAGGGGUAAAAUCCUGUAAUCCUGGGGGGACCACCGGUGGCGAAGGCGUUCCGCUAGAACGAAUCCGACGGUGAGGGACGAAGCCCUGGGGCGCAAACGGGAUUAGAUACCCCGGUAGUCCAGGGUGUAAACGCUGCAGACUUGGUGUUGGGUGUCCCACGAGGAUACCCAGUGCCGGAGAGAAGUUGUUAAGUCUGCCGCUUGGGGAGUACAGUCGCAAGACCGAAACUUAAAGGAAUUGGCGGGGGAGCACCGCAACGGGAGUAGCGUACGGUUUAAUUGGAUUCAACGCCGAAAAACUCACCAGGGGCGACGGACGUAUGAAGGUCAGGCUGACGACCUUACCUGAUUGUCCGAGAGGUGGUGCAUGGCCGUCGUCAGUUCGUACCGUAGGGCGUUCUGUUAAGUCAGAUAACGAACGAGACCCUCGCCCUUAAUUGCCACCCCUUUCUCCGGAAAGGGAGCACAUUAAGGGGACCGCUGACGCUAAGCCAGAGGAAGGUGAGGUCUACGGUAGGUCCGCAUGCCCCUAA
rnacentral:rRNA from 1 species